UCCGGGAAACCGGGGCUAAUACGUAGAUGGUUGUCUGAUCCGCCUGGUUCAAACAUAAAAGGUGGCUUCGGGCUACCACUUACAGAUGGACCCGCGGCGCAUAAGCUAGUUGGUGAGGUAACGGCUCACCAAGGCAACGAUGCGUAGCCGACCUGAGAGGGUGAUCGGCCACACUGGGAAUGAGACACGGCCCAGACUCCUACGGGAGGCAGCCGUAGGGAAUCUUCCGCCAUGGAGGAAAGUCCGAAGGAGCAACGCCGCCUGAGUGAUGAAGGUCUUCGGAUUGUAAAGCUCUGUUGUUAGGGAAGAACAAGUCCCGUUCGAAUACGGCGGUACCUUGACGGUACCUAACCAGAAAGCCACGGCUAACUACGUGCCAGCAGCCGCGGUAAUACGUAGGUGGCAAGCGUUGUCCGGAAUUAUUGGGCGUAAAGGGCUCGCAGGCGGUUUCUUAAGUCUGAUGUGAAAGCCCCCGGCUCAACCGGGGAGGGUCAUUGGAAACUGGGGAACUUGAGUGCAGAAGAGGAGAGUGGAAUUCCACGUGUAGCGGUGAAAUGCGUAGAGAUGUGGAGGAACACCAGUGGCGAAGGCGACUCUCUGGUCUGUAACUGACGCUGAGGAGCGAAAGCGUGGGGAGCGAACAGGAUUAGAUACCCUGGUAGUCCACGCCGUAAACGAUGAGUGCUAAGUGUUAGGGGGUUUCCGCCCCUUAGUGCUGCAGCUAACGCAUUAAG
rnacentral:rRNA from 1 species